UACAGAGGUCUCAAGCGUUGUUCGGAUUCAUUGGGCGUAAAGGGUGUGUAGGUGGCGCCGUAAGUCGGGUGUGAAAUUUCGGAGCUUAACUCCGAAACUGCAUUCGAUACUGCGGUGCUUGAGGGUUGGAGGGGGGACUGGAAUUCUCGGUGUAGCAGUGAAAUGCGUAGAGAUCGAGAGGAACACCAGUGGCGAAGGCGAGUCCCUGGACAACACCUGACGCUGAGGCACGAAAGCUAGGGGAGCAAACAGG
rnacentral:rRNA from 1 species